UACGUAGGGACCGAGCGUUGUCCGGAAUCAUUGGGCGUAAAGAGCGUGUAGGCGGCUAUUUAAGUCCUGCGUGAAAUCCUGCGGCUCAACCGCAGACGGUCGUGGGAAACUGGAUGGCUAGAGUGCGGGAGAGGAGAGUGGAAUUCCCGGUGUAGCGGUGAAAUGCGCAGAUAUCGGGAGGAACACCGGUGGCGAAGGCGGCCAGCUGGCGCUGACCUGACGCUGAGGCGCGAAGGCGUGGGGAGCGAACGGG
rnacentral:rRNA from 1 species